UUUUUUGUAUUUUUAGCAGAGACGGGGUUUCACCCUGUUAGCCAGGAUGGUCUCAUCUCCUGACCUCGUGAUCCGCCCGCCUAGGCCUCCCAAAGUGCUGGGAUUACAGGCGUGAGCCACCGCGCCCGGCCUAAUAAAGGACAAUUUUUAAUAGCCACUGGACUAUUUAAGUGAUCUCUUCUGUCAGUUUCUUUUACCAUCAGAGGACACAGCAGCAAGGUGCCAUCCUAGAAGCAGAGAGCAGACCCUUACCAGACAACCAACCAGCUGGUGCCAUGAUCUUGGACUUCUCGGCCUCCAGAACUGAUGCAAUUGUCCAAUUAUUGGUGAAAUUGUCAUUUCAUGCUAUUGGCUAUUUGAAAUUCCUCCUCUAAUUUCAGAAUAAAUCACUGAAAUUGACAUCGGCCAGUCUGAAUUUCAAGAAAUUACCUGCUGAAGACAAGAGGGAUCUCUUCUUCAGAUUUGCAGUCUGGGGAAGACACAGCCUCUACUGUACUUUAGAACCUGAGAUAUGGUGGUGGAGGGAGCCCUGGGUCGAGUGGUAAGAUUCACCCUU
rnacentral:lncRNA from 1 species